UACGGAGGAUCCAAGCGUUAUCCGGAUUUAUUGGGUUUAAAGGGUGCGCAGGCGGAAGAUUAAGUCGGCGGUGAAAUUUUGCAGCUCAACUGUAAAAGUGCCAUCGAUACUGGUUUUCUUGAGUGUGGAUGAAGUAGGCGGAAUUUGUGGUGUAGCGGUGAAAUGCAUAGAUAUCACGAGGAACUCCGAUUGCGCAGGCAGCUUACUAGGCCAUAACUGACGUUCAGGCACGAAGGCGUGGGGAUCAAACAGGAUUAGAUA
rnacentral:rRNA from 1 species